rnacentral:lncRNA from 1 species
GUGGAAGGGGGAGUAAGGUGGAGGAGGAUGGAGCUGGAGGAGGAGGAUGGUUGACCAACAUGGAGGAAUACAUGGAGGAGGAGGAGGAGGAGGGUUAGGGGGUGGAUGUACGAGGGGAGUCGAGGAGGAGGAGCAGGAGGAGAGAGGAGUGAUGGGUGAGGUGGGGUUGGAUGCAGUGGGUGGAUGGGGAUGAUUGAGUAGCACCAGGAGGAUGGAAGAGGAUGGAGAAGGAAGACGCAGGAGGAGGAAGGAGGACGUAGCUGGAAGGGCAGGAGGAGAAGGAGGAUGGGGGAGAUGGAAGGAGGAGGAGGAGGACUGAGGAGUGAUGAGAGAGCGUGGGGAGGACCAAAAGGAGGAGGCUGAGGUGGAUAGUGGAGGAGGUGGAGGAGGAGAGGGUGGAGCAGGGCAGUAGGGACAGGAGGAGUAUCAAAGAGGUUGGAGUCCAUUUAAAACGAGGAGGAGGAGGAUGACUGGGAAGCAUGGAGGAGGAAGAUCAAGGGGUAGGAGAGAAAUGGUGGGUGGACAUGGAGGAGGAGAGAAGGAGGAUGGAGAACGUGGGAGGAGGAGGAUCAAGGAGUGAUGAGAGAGGAUGGGGAGGGCGGCCCAGGAGGUGGACGAGAUGGACGGAGGUGGCGGAUGAGACGGCGCCGAAGGAGAACCAGGAGAAAGAGGAUGUGAAGCUGGAGGAAGCAGACGGGAAGGCUGGAGGACAUGAAGGAGGGUGGGGAAGGAUGGAGGAGAACGGAGCAGGGGGCGCGUGUUGGAGAAGGAGAGGGAGAGGAGGAGGGCAGACGAGAAAGGGCAGGCGGAGGAGGGUGGAGGAGGAUGCAGGGGCAGGGUGAAGGAGGAUGGAGCAGGAGGAGAGAGGAAGAGCAGAGGCCCCAGGCAGGCCCAGAGCAGACAGUGAGAGGCCAGGGUGGGGUCCCAGAGGAUGGAGCAGGAGGAGAGAGGAAGAGCAGAGGCCCCAGGCAGGCCCAGAGCAGACAGUGAGAGGCCAGGGUGGGGGGUCCCAGUGGAG